UUAACCCAUUUAACAACUCAACCCAUCAAAUUAAAUGAGUUAUGGGUUGACCCAAUCCAUUUAACAAAAUGAGUUGGGUCAACCCAUAACUCAUUUGAUUAUGAGUUGAGUUGAGUUGGGUU
rnacentral:pre_miRNA from 1 species